CAGCACCUCAAGUGGUCAGGAUGAUUAUUGGGCCUAAAGCAUCUGUAGCCUGCUUUGUUAGUUUUCGGUUAAAUCCAUACGCUCAACGUAUGGGCUGCCGGGAAUACUGCAAAGCUAGGGAGUGGGAGAGGUAGACGGUACUCGGUAGGAAGGGGUAAAAUCCUUUGAUCUAUUGAUGACCACCUGUGGCGAAGGCGGUCUACCAGAACACGUCCGACGGUGAGGGAUGAAAGCUGGGGGAGCAAACCGGAUUAGAUACCCGAGUAGUCC
rnacentral:rRNA from 1 species